AUGGAUUCCAUCAUGGCUAACGGGACAUGGGAGAUCACUGACCGUCCCUAUGGUUGCAAACCACUGGGAUGUAAGUGGGUGUUCAAAAAGAAGCUUAGGCCCGAUGGUACGAUUGAAAAGUACAAGGCUAGGCUUGUGGCCAAGGGCUAUGACCAGCAAGAAGAGGAAGAUUUCUUUGAUACUUAUUCACCUGUGGCUAGACUGACCACCAUUCGAGUAUUACUCUCGUUGGCGGCCUCACAUGGUCUUCUCGUCCAUCAGAUGGAUGUUAAGACGGCUUUUCUAAAUGGAGAGCUAAAGGAGGAAAUCUACAUGCAACAGCCUGAUGGCUUUGUGAUAGAUGGUCAGGAAAGAAAGGUGUGUAGGUUGAUAAAAUCUUUAUAUGGCCUGAAACAAGCACCUAAGCAAUGGCAUGAUAAGUUUAAUACAACUCUGACAUCUGUUGGUUUCGUUGUUAAUGAGGCUGACAAAUGUGUAUACUAUCGCCAUGGUGGGGGCGAAGUAGUUAUACUGUGCUUGUAUGUUGAUGACAUACUGAUAUUCGGAACAAACCUCAAAGUCAUUGAGGAGGUCAAAUCGUUUCUAUCUCAGAACUUUGAGAUGAAAGACCUUGGUGUGGCUGAUGUUAUCUUGAACAUCAAGCUACUGAGAGAUAAUGAGGGUGGGAUCACACUUCUGCAAUCCCAUUACGUUGAGAAGGUGUUGAGUCGUUUUGGAUAUUCGGACUGCACACCAUCUCAAACACCAUAUGAUCCUAGCGUAUUGAUUCGAAAGUCCAAAGGCAUGGCUAAAGAUCAAUUGAGAUACUCUCAAAUCAUUGGUUCACUGAUGUACCUAGCGAGCGCAACGAGGCCUGACAUCGCGUUUGCUGUGAGCAAACUGAGCCGGUUUGUUUCCAAACCGGGUGAUGUACAUUGGCAUGCUGUUGAGAGAGUUAUGCGCUAUCUGAAAGGUACUAUGAACUAUGGACUUCACUAUACCGGAUACCCGUCGGUACUUGAAGGGUAUAGUGAUGCGAAUUGGAUCUCUGAUGCUGAUGAGAUGAAGGCCACAACUGGGUAUAUGUUUACUCUUGGAGGUGGCGCUGUUUCCUGGAAGUCUUGCAAGCAAACGAUCUUAACGAGAUCAACAAUGGAAGCAGAAUUAACGACAUUAGACACAUCUGGUGUUGAAGCGAGAUGGCUUCGAGAUCUUUUGAUGGACUUGCCAUUGGUUGAUAAACCGGUUCCGGCUAUCCUUAUGAACUGUGACAAUCAGACUAGCGAUCUUUGGAGGAACACACCUAUAUGA
rnacentral:rRNA from 1 species